CUCUUAUUUUCUCUUUCCCUCAUUUUUUCUUAGAUUCAAAAACAAAGCUUCCCUUAAAAUCCCAUAACCAUCUCUCCCUCUCCUUGCCCUCUCCUUCCUCAUCAAGUUUCCAUCUUUGCUCCUUUGCUAACUACAUUAACUAAUCCAAACACACAAAAACUAAGCACACCCUUCUUAGAAAUUUGUGUCUCUGUUUCUUGUUUUGGCUAAAUUUCCAUGCUUUCUGUUGGUUGGUCUCAAUAUAACUUCAUAUUCCAAUCUCUCAUGCUUCUCCACAUAACCUCAUUUAGCAUAUCCUUGGCAAUUUAGAUUUCAGAUCUUUGCUGCUUGCUAGUUAAUCACAAACUGUUUGCGUCCAUAUAUAUAGUGUAUGAACAAAUGGAGAGCUGCAAUAUGCAUGGGGAGAAAAUGAGUCUUAUAAAUGAGCUAGCACAAGGCAGGGAGCUAGCUAGGCAACUCCAGAUCCAUCUCAAUGUUCCGUCUUCGUCUCAUGGAACCCGGGAAUCAUUGGUUCAAAAAAUCAUAGUUUCGUACGAAAAGGCGCUUUCCUUGCUCAAUUCUAGCAGCUCAGCCUCGGGGGGAGAGCAACAACUGCCCACAGGUCAUGCUGCGAUUCGAAUGAUUGAGUCCCCCCCAACUUCUCUCAAUGGAAGUCCCCGAAGUGAAGACUCGGAUCGCGAAUUCAAGGACCAGGACAACAAAGAUUCCUCUAGGAAGAGGAAAACUCUGCCAAGGUGGACACAACAAAUAAGAGUUACAUCAGGUAUGGGGCUUGAGGGGCCUCUUGAUGAUGGCUUCAGCUGGAGGAAAUAUGGCCAAAAGGACAUACUUGGAGCCAAAUAUCCAAGAGGCUAUUACAGAUGCACUCAUCGGAAUGCUCAAUGCUGUUUGGCCACAAAGCAAGUGCAACGCUCCGAUGAGGACCCGACAGUCUUUGAAAUUACUUACAGAGGAAGGCACACAUGUACACAAGCCUCCACCAGCACAACCAGUGCUCCUCCUCUUCCUCCUCCACAGAAUAGCAUGGACAUAGUGGACCCUCAACAAAAUCAGCAGCAACCACAAGACUUGCUCUUAACCAUCCCACAAGGCCUUACAGUAGUAACUGAAGGCUUAGACGCUGGUGAUCAGGAAUUGUUUCCCUACAAUCCAUUGAACCACAACUAUGUGGGGCAUUUUUCUCCUCCAUUUAUGGGCCCUACAACUUCUGGAACACAGUAUCUCUCAGUUUCAGAGCAGGGCUUUGGAGGAGGCGGCCAAAGUUUUCAGGGUGCUGAGUGUGAGAUUCCAGAGAUUCUGUCAUCUGCUACUUCAGCAACCAACUCUCCUAUUGCUGCUGCUGCUUUGGGUUUCCCAUUUGGUCAGGCUGAUCAAAACUUAUACCCCAACUUCUCAUUUGACGGUCCAGGCUUCUUUCCUCAUAGCUAUUAGCUUCCUUCCCAAAAGAGAUUAGCGUUUCCAGAGCCAACAUAAUUAAACUUUGUAACUUCCGCCGCAUAUCAGAGAUUCAAAGAUGCGUUUUAAUUUUACGUAAGGGCCCAUCAGAAAUGUCUUCUACGCAUCCGAACAACAAGGCCCAAUCGCGAUGGGAUGUCUAAUCGUGCAGAGGCCGUUUCGGGAAACGACGUCUUUUCUUUCGUAUGCACGACCCAAUGCAUAGUAGAUAUGGCAGGCCCAAGACGUCUGAAAAACAAACCAACCUUGUGCGGACCUCUGAAAAUGGCCCAUACGGUUCACACCAGUCCAUUGAAUUCCUGUACUUUAUUUUUUAUUUUCUAUGAAAAAAUUAUUUAUCAUUUCCUACAUUUUCCUA